rnacentral:rRNA from 1 species
UACGAAGGGGGCUAGCGUUGUUCGGAUUUACUGGGCGUAAAGCGCACAUAGGCGGAUCGAUCAGUCAGGGGUGAAAUCCCAGGGCUCAACCCUGGAACUGCCUUUGAUACUGUCGAUCUGGAGUAUGGAAGAGGUGAGUGGAAUUCCGAGUGUAGAGGUGAAAUUCGUAGAUAUUCGGAGGAACACCAGUGGCGAAGGCGGCUCACUGGUCCAUUACUGACGCUGAGGCGCGAAAGCAUGGGGAGCGAACGGG